rnacentral:rRNA from 1 species
UACGGAGGGGGGCUAGCGUUGUUCGGAAUUACUGGGCGUAAAGCGUACGUAGGCGGCUUUGUAAGUUAGAGGUGAAAGCCCAGAGCUCAACUCUGGAAUUGCCUUUAAGACUGCAUCGCUUGAAUCGUGGAGAGGUUAGUGGAAUUCCGAGUGUAGAGGUGAAAAUUCGUUAGAUAUUCGGAAGAACACCAGUGGCGAAGGCGACUAACUGGACACGUAUUACGCUGAGGUACGAAAAGCGUGGGGAGCAAACAGG